rnacentral:rRNA from 1 species
AGUCACUGACAUUAGAUACCCGCGUAGUCCAGGGUGUAAACGCUGCAGACUUGGUGUUGGAGGCCCUUUGGGGGCAUUCAGUGCCGGAGAGAAGUUGUUAAGUCUGCUACUUGGGGAGUACGUCCGCAAGGAUGAAACUUAAAGGAAUUGGCGGGGAGCACCACAACGGGUGGAGCCUGCGGUUUAAUUGGACUCAACGCCGGAAAUCUCACCGGAUAGGACAGACAUAUGAUAGUCGGGCUGAAGACUCUACUUGAUGAUCUG